rnacentral:misc_RNA from 1 species
UCCGGCUUAACGCCGGCAGUCCCCUUAGAGUCCCCGGCAUAACCCGAUGGUAACUAAGGGCAAAGGUUUCGCUCGUUAAGGGACUUAACCCGACAUCUCACGACACGAGCUGACGACAGCCAUGCAGCACCUGUGCCAGUUGUACCCCUUGCGGGGCCUACCCCACUUUCAUGGGGAUAAUCCAGGCAUGUCAAACCCAGGUAAGGUUCUGCGCGUUGCUUCGAAUUGAACCACAUGCUCCACCGCUUGUGUGAGCCCCCGUCAAUUCCUUUGAGUUUUAGCCUUGCGACCGUACUUCCCAGGCGGUCCACUUAGCACUUUUGCUUCGGCCGCGGCGGCGGUCAAACGCCUCCACGACCUAGUGGACAUCGUUUAGGGCCAGGACUAC